UGGCAUUUUCCCCUGCCCUAGAGAUUCGUGGAACUUUGAAAUUGAGUGAGACGAUUUAGGGUAUCUGGAGGAAGAAAUUUCUAAGCAGCAAAGCAUUCAAGAAGUGAUGGGUGCUGUUAAAGGCAUUCAGUUUUAGAAGGGAAACAGCAUCAAAAUUCAGAAAAUUUGCAGCCUGACAAUGCAAUAGGAAAUAGAAACCCAUUUUCUGAGGAAAAAUUCAAGCUGCCUGCAGAUAUUUGCAUAAGUAAUGAGAAGCUGAAUGUUAAUCACCAAGACCAUGAGAAAAAUAUCUCCAGGACAUCAGAGACCUUUGUGGCAGCCCCCUCCCAUGAAAGGCCCAGAGACCUAGGAGGAAAAAAUGGUUUUGUGGGGCUGGCCCAGGUUCCCUCUACUGUGUGCAGUCUAGGGACUUGGCAUCCUGUGUCCCAGCCACUCCAGCUGUGGCUGAAAGGGUCCAAGGUACAGUUCAGGCCAUGGCUUCAAAGGGUGCAAGCCCCAAGUCUCGGCAGCUUUCACAAGGUGUUAAGCCUGUGAGUGCAAGGAAGUCAAGAAUUGAGGUUUGGGAACCUCCACCUAUGUUUCAAAUGAUGUAUGGAAACACCUGGGUGCCCUGGCAGAAGUUUGCUGCAGGGGCGGGGCCCUCAUAGAGGGCCCUCUACUAGGGCAGUACAGAAGGGAAAUGUGGGUUGGAGCCCCAACACAGAGCCCCACUGGGGACACUGCCUAGUGGAGCUUUGAGAAGAGGGCCACCAUUCUCCAGACCCCAGAAUGGUAGACCCACUGACAGCUUGCACUAUGCACUUGGAAAAGACACAGACACUCAACACCAGCCCAUGAAAGCAGCCAGAAGGGAGGCUGUACCCUGCACAGCUACAGGGGCAGAGCUGCCCAAGACCAUGGGAACCCAACUGUUGCAUCAGCAUGACCCAGAUGUGAGAAUUGGAGUCAAAGAAGAUCAUUUUGGAGCUUUAAGAUUUGACUGUCCUUCUAGAUUUUGGACUUACAUGAGAUGAUAAAACAUCAGUUGAAGAAGUUCAUUUGGGUAAAGAGAUGGAUAAUAUUUGGAUAUACAUGAACUCUUGGACCAUCAUCAAUAGCUUUGUUCUAUAUUAAGGCAUAAGGACAGAUGCUGAUACCAUCUCCUUUACAAGGUCAUUUUGUUACUGUCAGUGGUCAGCAUAUCUACUGCGUUGUUGUGAACCAGGAUGACGUAUUGUUAAGGCAAUUAUCCGUGUUGAAGAGAAACACGUCGCUGCUGCUUGCUUGAUGUGGCUGCAACAACAAAGCUGUUUUGACUACUCUAGGACUUGAAGCUGCUAUUCCCUCAUGAUCCUGACACCUGGAAUUUGCACCUCACAGGACCCCAGCCUUGCUGCUCUGCCCAUUGACCUCUGCCACCCUCCAUACCGGGUGUGAGUUACCACCAGAAGAAGUCUGUGGCAGCAGCAGUCUUUGCCUUAUUCUGACAGUGCCAAAGUGUGUUUGGUGGGUGACUCAGCUGAGUUGAGCCUCUUGCCAACUCCCAACACAGGUGCAGAGUGCAUCUGAGCAUGGAGGUUCUUGACUCUUAUGACAUGAAAAGUGCAAUGUGAACAUAAAAUUGUGAAUGAUGUGACUAUUCCAAAAACACAAACAGACACUGGCAAGGAUCUGUUUUGCCAACAAAGCUACACAACUGCAGCAGAAAAGCUCCAUGGAGGAAAAACUACAGUGCAAAUAAAGGUUUCCAGCCGUCAAUGAUGCUAGCAAAGUGGAGGAAGGGUCACAGUAGGUCCCUCAGAAAGCUUCCCCAGCCACUUUCAUGAAAUUAACACCCUUGACCAUUUUCUCUUCCAAAAAGUAAGGAUUUUCUCUUUAAUGUCUCAUGCCUCUUCCAGCUUUAUUACUCUGUGAUUAUGUGUUCAUUUUUAAGGCAUAAUAAAUGUGAAAAAAAUGAGAUUGAUUUGAGUUUACUUUUUCUAAAAGUUCAUUCUAGAUGCAAUAAAUGAAGUUAGACAGUAAAACUCAGUAAAAAUGCUUUAUAAUAUAUGUAUAUAUGCUCUUUAAGAAAAAUUGCUUAACAUUUUUACCUCUUAAUUUGCUUUCGUGAUUCCAUGCAUUUUGUUGUACUUAUCAUGGCAAAAUUUAUUUGUGAAGUAUAUAUCAGAAAGCCUUGCUCUAUGAUCAACAAACUUUGGUUAACUUUUAACUUUCAACAUAACAUUAGAUAUUCACCUCUCCAUUUGUUCAGAGUUAAAUUGUCAUUACUCAUUUGCUUUUUUAUCUAAAUUAAGAUUUUCUUUAAGUCAACACAAUAAACGCCAUAUAUGCCAAGCCCACAGCUAACAUCAUAUUCAACCAUGAAAAGCUGAAACAUUAUCCUCUAAGAUCAGGAAGAAGACAAAUAUGCCCACUUUCCCUUUUUCUGUCAACACUGAAAGGGAAGUCUAACCCCGAGAAAUUAGGUAAGAGAAAAAAACUACAGGCAUCUAAACUGGAAUAGUAGUUAAACUGUCCUUGCUUGCAGACACAUGAUCUUACAUAUAGAAAACUCUAGGCCGGGCGCAGUGGCUCACGCCUGUAAUCCCUGCACUUUGGGAGGCCAAGGUGGG
rnacentral:lncRNA from 1 species